GAUUGGAUGCGGGGGCUUCACCGCCUACCAAAUCCUGACAAACUCCGAAUGCCAGUAGUAUGAUUUACAGCAGUGAGUGACUGGGUGCUAAUGUCCAGUCGCAAAAGAGGAACAACUCAGACCAGCAACUAAGGUCCCGAAGAAUAUGCUAAGUUGAUCUAACGAUGUUUUGUUGCAGAGACAGCUAGGAUGUUAGCUUGGAAGCAGCUAUUCAUUCAAAGAGUGCGUAACAGCUCACUAGUCGAGCGACAGAGCGUGGAUAAUAAACGGGCAUCAAGCAUAUCACCGAAGUUCUGGGCGCGAGAGCGCGGUAGGGGAGCAUUCCAUUCAGCGUCGAAGCAGUUUCGUGAGGAAUUGUGGAGCGUAUGGAAAAGCAAAUGUAGGCAUGAGUAACGAUAAUGCGGGAGAGUAACCCGCACACCGCAAGACCAAGGUUUCCUGAUCAACGCUAAUCGGAUCAGGGUUAGUCGGGUCCUAAGGGUAAGCCGAACGGCGAUCUCGAUGGAUAAUCGGUUAAUAUUCCGAUACUAACAUAUACCUCGAUGGAGAGACGAAGGAACGUAAGUGCCGCCACCUGACGGAAUAGGUGGUUAAAGGGCGUAGAUAUAGGGGCAGAUUAAGAGUUAGUCCUUGCUGAAACCUGACAGUACAGAGAGCCUACGGGCAAUUUGAUAGAGCACCCAAGUCGACUUCCGAGAAAAUCUUCUAAGUUAUAGUAUAUGUUACCCGUACCGUAAACCGACACAGGUGGUCGAGGAGAGUAUCCUAAGGUGCUCGAGUGAAUCACGGUUAAGGAACUAGGCAAAUUAACCCCGUAACUUCGGGAAAAGGGGUCCCUACGCGAGUAGGGCGCAGCGAAGAGGUCCAGGCGACUGUUUAUCAAAAACACAGGGCUCUGCAAAUUCGAAAGAAGACGUAUAGGGCCUGACACCUGCCCGGUGCUGGAAGGUUAAGAGGGGAUGUCAUCGCAAGAGAAGCAUUGAAUCGAAGCCCCAGUAAACGGCGGCCGUAACUAUAACGGUCCUAAGGUAGCGAAAUUCCUUGUCGGGUAAGUUCCGACCUGCACGAAUGGUGUAACGAUCUGGACACUGUCUCAACCGUGAGCUCGGUGAAAUUGUAGUCCCGGUGAUGAUGCCGGGUACCCGCAACGGGACGAAAAGACCCCGUGAACCUUUACUAUAGCUUAACGCUGAAUUUGGGUACACAAUGUGUAGGAUAGGCCGGAGGCUUUGAAGCGGGCACGCCAGUGUUCGUGGAGCCGACGUUGAAAUACGGCCCUUUGUGUAUUUGAGUUCUAACCCUGCGAAGGGGACACCGUUUGGUGGGUAGUUUGACUGGGGUGGUCGCCUCCAAAAGCGUAACGGAGGCUUCCCAAGGUACCCUCAGCACGAAUGGUAACCGUGCGCGGAGUGCAAUAGCAUAAGGGUGCUUGACUGUGAGACAUACAAGUCGACCAGGUACGAAAGUAGGGUAUAGUGAUCCGGUGGUUCUGCGUGGACUGGCCAUCGCUCAAAGGAUAAAAGGUACUCCGGGGAUAACAGGCUGAUCGCCGCCAAGAGCUCAUAUCGACGCGGCGGUUUGGCACCUCGAUGUCGGCUCGUCACAUCCUGGGGCUGGAGAAGGUCCCAAGGGUUCGGCUGUUCGCCGAUUAAAGUGGCACGCGAGCUGGGUUCAGAACGUCGUGAGACAGUUCGGUCUCUAUCUGUUGCGGGCGUAGGAAGAUUGAGGGGUCCUGACUUUAGUACGAGAGGACCGAGUUGGACGAACCUCCGGUGUAUCGGUUAUGCUGCCAAGUGUACUGCCGAGUAGCCGCGUUCGGUCUGGAUAAGCGCUGAAAGCAUCUAAGCGCGAAGCCAUCCCCGAGAUAAGUCUUCCCUUGAGGGGCGUAGGAGACUACUACGUUGAUAGGCUGCAGGUGUAAAGACAGCAAUGUCAAAGCCGAGCAGUACUAAUUACCCGAUAGGCUUUCUUUUU
rnacentral:rRNA from 1 species